CCUGUCACAUGAAAAUUAGCAAUAUCAGCAAACCAAGGCAAGUCAGAAACACUAAAAAGUUGUUCAUCAGGGAAAGUAUCCUUGAUCAAUGUUGUUUCAAACGAUUCAUCACAAGUAAGCCUAGACAACUUUCCCUGAUCGAUGUUGUUUCAAACGAUUCAUCACAAGUAAGCCUAGACAAGUGAUCAGCUACAACAUUCUCUACUCCUUUCUUUUCUCGAAUGGUGAUGUCAAAUUCUUGGAGUAAAAGAAUCCACCUAAUCAACCUAGGUUUGGUAUCUUUCUUACAGAGAAGAUAUUUUAAAGCUGCAUGAUCACUAAAAAUAACAAUUGGUGAGCCAACAAGAUAUGAUCGAAAUUUGUCCAAAGCAAACACUACAGCAAGCAAUUCUUUUUCAGUAGUAGAAUAAUUCAUUUGAGCAUUAUUUAGAGUUUUACUUGCAUAGUAAAUGACAUGAGGUUUCUUAUCUUUUCUUUGGCCUAAGACAGCUCCAACAGCAUAAUCACUAGCAUCACACAUGAUUUCAAAAGGUAAAUUCCAAUCUGGAGGUUGCAUGAUAGGAGCACAAGUAAGUAUGUUCUUAAAUUUAACAAAAGCUUCUUGACAAGACUUAGUCCAUUCAAAAGGCAUGUCUUUAGAUAAGAGAUUACACAAUGGUUUAGAUAUGGCACUAAAGUCUUUGAUAAACCUUCUAUAAAAACCAGCAUGUCCUAAAAAAGAUCUUACCUCUUUAACACUAUGUGGAGUAGGCAAAUUAGAAAUCAAUUCAGUUUUAGAUUUGUCUACCUCAAUUCCAUUAGGUGAUACAAUAUGACCAAGUACGAUGCCCUUAGUGACCAUAAAAUGACAUUUUUCCCAGUUGAGCACAAGAUUCUUUUCUUCACACCUAACUAAAACUUUUUGCAAGUUAGUUAGACAAUCAUCAAAUGAAUCCCCAAAAAUAGUAAAAUCAUCCAUGAAAACUUCCAAAGAUCUUUCAAUCAUGUCGCUAAAAAUACUAAGCAUGCAUCUUUGAAAUGUAGCUGGUACAUUACAUAAUCCAAAAGGCAUUCUACGAUAAGCAAAAGUACCAAAGGGACAUGUGAAAGUGGUCUUUUCUUGGUCCUCAGGUGCAAUUUCAAUUUGGUUAUAUCCAGAAUAUCCAUCUAGAAAACAAUAAAAUUCAUGUCCUGCCACUCUUUCCAACAUCUGAUCCAUAAAAGGUAAAGGAAAAUGAUCUUUCCUAGUCAUUGAGUUGAGUUUCCUAUAGUCGAUACACAUGCGCCAACCAGUAACAGUUCUAGUUGGAAUUAACUCAUUUUCUUCAUUUUUGACUACAGUAACACCAGAUUUUUUUGGUACAACUUGGGUUGGACUUACCCAUCUACUAUCAGAAAUAGGAUAAUUGAUUUCAUUAUUUAAGAGUUUAAUGACUUCAUUUCUUACCACCUCUUUUAAAACAGGAGUAAGCCUUCUUUGCAUUUCUCUUGUAGGUUUAGCAUAUUCCUCCAAAUAAAUCUUAUGUGUGCAAAUCAAAGGACUAAUCCCCUUUAUAUCAGCUAUGGUCCAUCCUAAAACAUUUUUAUGCAUUUUUAAAGUUUACAAUAACUUACCUUCUUGGUGCGCAUCAAGUUGGGAAGAAAUUAUUACCGGAAGAGUUUCAUCUUCACCCAAAAAUGAGUAUUUCAGAUUAGAUGGUAAUGGCUUCAAGUCGAGCUUUGGCAUUUGAACACUUGAAAUCAUGGACAUAUUGGACUAUUGUGAUAAUUUUUCAAACUUUGAUUUCCAAUCACUUAUCUUUUUCUCCUGAAAAGAAUUCAACAAAGAAAUUAUAUGCGAAUUUUCAGAAUUAUUGUUAAAUUCAAAUUCUAGCACAUUAGAUGAAGAUGUAGUGAUAAGCUGAUCAUCAACAAUUUGUUCAAUAAAAUCUACUUCAUACAAAUCAUCAUUAUCUCCAUGUUGCCUGCAAAUGUUAAAAACAUUCAUUUCCACAGUCAUAUUUCCAAAAGAGAGUUUUAAGAUACCAUUUCUACAAUUUAUCAACGCAUUUGAAGUAGCAAGAAAGGGACGUCCUAGAAUGACAGGUAUUUGUGCAUUUGAAUUUAAAACAGGAUGUGUGUCCAAAACUAUAAAAUCAACAGGAUAAUAGAAUUUAUCAAUUUGAACUAGAACAUCCUCCUCUUGGAACUUUUACUGAACGAUCAGCAAGUUGAAGUGUUGUUGCUGUUGGUUUAAGCUCUCCCAAACCAAGUUGCUCAUACACAGAAAAAGGUAAUAGAUUAACACUAGCACCAAGAUCAAGCAAAGCACGCUCUAUCCUAUUAUUCCCGAUCACACAAGAAAUUGUUGGACAACUAGGAUCUUUGAAUUUAG
rnacentral:lncRNA from 1 species